AAAGUAACUAUUUAAUUAAAAACCAUAGUAAAUCAAAUUAACACAGUACAUCAUCAAACCAUUUAUAAGCAACACUGACCUCCAAACAACAACACAGGAUUCUUACAAGUAAGUAACACAACAUAAAUCUUCAUUAGCGCUCUAAUUAUUCUUUCAAUUACUAGCAAGUGGCAUGUCCGAGGUUGUUGCCUGUUCAGUUCCUGGGCUUGCAGCCCUGCGUGCUUGACGAGGACAAGUCCGUUUCCGGUGAGCUUCAGGAUUUUCCCAACGUUGUGCUCCUCUCAUAACGAAGGCUCCAAACACAGUUCCCAUAAAAAAGGCAAAAACAGGCCUCAUCUCCCUUGUUGUUUGUUUAUAAACUCUACUCUAGAUAUUGUGUAAAAGCAAGAGCAAGACUAGAUAUGGUGUUGGGAACUAGGCGAUUGAGCUGGUGGAUUUAUAAAAGUUUUGUCUUUAGAAGACAUCUUGAUGCCCAAGUUGUCUUUGCAAAUGAUUUCACUAAGCUAGCCUCUACUCCAAGGGUCAACCCCGCUGUCUUGCCGUGUUAAAUAUUUUAUUCUAGAUGGCGGCAUCCAUACUUGGUGGAUAAGGUGCAAAUUUGACUGGGUCAGUUAGCAUUUCUGGUCUAAACCAGCCCCUAACAAUCAAUGAAUUUGCUCUCAUUAAUGGGACUUCCUCGAAAAUAAAAUAAAGAACGAAUCAAUAAAGGAAAAGAAAAUAAACUUUUUUUAUUUUGUCCUUAAAUCGUAUCUUUGAUAUGUGUAAAUGAUCAUGCUUUAGGUGAUGAUAAACUUAUUAUGUUCUUAAACUAUCAUCCAUUCAUGGGGGUUUUAUUUAUUUUUCUCAGAUUCUUUUUUGAAGAACUUCAUGAAUUGGAUUAAAAAUGUAGAUAUAAUAUGCUAGUGAGAGAGUGUAUGAGAGAUAGGGACAGUGAUGCUUGAUACUUUCUAUUAAAAAAUAUGUUUUUGUCUUAAUUGUAUUCUUGUAUUGUCAAAUAACUGGUUGAUAGUGUUGAUGCAAAAAAAUUAUCGUUAUUGUUUAAUUGAAAAAAGAUGUAUUUCUUUAAUUAUUUUUCAAUUUCAGUUUUUUUUUUUUCGUUCUUACCUUUUGAUUUAUAUUGAGAUAUCCCAUAAACUUUGGAGAUGAAAUUAAGAUUUACACAUAGCGGAACAGAAAUAAAGAUGUAGGUCUAAUCGAAACAAAUCAAAAUUUUAAUGAAACUGAAAAAAUACAUGAACCUGGAGAUUAAAAUCUACCCUAAAUUGGCUGACGACCAUGAAGGUGCGACAAAUCAGAAGAUAGGGACCCUGUUUUCUUUAGCUGUUCUGAGGUGAAAGUAGUUUGGUGCCAGCUAUAUCUUUUCUGUUUGGCAAGAGAGAGAUAAGAAGCGCGUGAGAAUGUUGCUUCGGAUUCUCUACUUUGCCAAGGCAAAUUAUCCAAUCUGUUCAGUACAGAUUACGUAAGACAACGCUGCUGAGACAUGCUAUGAACAGUAAUCCCAGAUAUGAUUUGUUAUAUAUAAUCACUGGGAUUUUGCUGAUAAUUUUCUCGGUCAGAGUCUGUAAAAUGGACUUAGUCUUCUGUCGUGUAUGCUUCAAUUUCCCAGGAUAGUAUCCUGUUUUAGCUCUUGUAGGAGGGCGAGCACCAAUCUGUUUUUUUUGUAAUAAAAUUCUCGAUAAUCAAGACUGGGACCUUGAGAUACCUGAAUGUUAAUUUCUGCUAGGACAGAACAAAGAGGACGAAUGUAAACACCAAAUAGAAUGCGAAAUGAUAAGCAAGAAGCUAUCUUGGCCACACAAUUACUGCACAUGGCGAUGGGCCAAAGAUUUUGCUUUUUUGAGUAACGCCAUUCACAGAAUUGAAUAAAAAUCCAGCUUCAAGUACACAGCAUUCAUGGCUUAACAUUGGCCACUGCUCCUGUAGUGGCUGCCUGUUAUUUUCAGUAUUUAAUUGUCUAUGCAUUUGUAUUUCUCUAUAUAAAGCUUCUUUUGGAGCACUGAAAGUUCCAUAACGUGUGUGUUGCCUGAAAGAAAUGGCCUUCAAGGGUUCUAAGGCAGCUGCUAUUUUUGUUCUGCUCAAUGUCGUUUUUUUCACUUGUGUCUCAUCUCAUAACGUACCGGCCUGUCCUCCAAAAGCUCCCCCAGCCCCGAAGAAGCCAGCCAAAUGCCCUAAAGAUACCCUCAAAUUUGGUGUUUGUGGCAACUGGUUAGGGCUGGUUCACGAGGUUCUUGGGACCCCUCCAAGCGAGGAAUGCUGUACCCUUAUCAAGGGUCUUGCUGAUCUUGAAGCAGCAUUGUGUUUAUGCACAGCUAUUAAGGCCAAUGUCUUGGGAGUUGUCAAGCUCAAAGUUCCCGUUGCAGUUAGCUUGCUCCUAAGUGCUUGUGGAAAGAAAGUUCCUGAAGGCUUUAAAUGCGCUUAGAACUCCUUUUCCUGUUCAUUGAUGUUUGUUUCACGUUUGAAACUUGUUUGCUCUUGUAAAACUCGCUUUCCUGUAAGAAGCGAAGCUGAAUGCCUCUCAAUAAAAUGUGUUUUGAGUCCCUUCCUUUUGCUUUGCAUCUGUUCUAAAGAGUUGAGACAAAUAAUGGCAAAAUGCGCAAACAUGUCGAAGCUAGAUUACAGCUUAAGAGCUGCAAGGCAUUUUGGUUAAUUCAUUCACUUUAAACGUGUAAAGGUGCGCAGGAGAAUCAGUAGAAUCCUCAUCAUCUACCCUGUUUUAUAAUAAUAAUUUAUUUAUUUUAAAAAAAUAAAGAAGCUAAUAAGAUGCUGUAAAACCUUUCAGCAAAGCGUCGCAAAAGAAACAGAUGGCCCCCAGCACCAAGGGGUUUAAAUCUUGUAGAACAUGUCCAUAGGAGAGGCAUCAAAGCCCGUUGAAUCACCAAAGGAGCACUCCUUUUCCAGUGCAGCAGUAAGGUUUGAAGCUUUGACUCAAUUGUGCAAACGGAUUUUUGUAGCAGGGCUUUCUCUAAUCGAAAACAUGUUUUUGAAAUGAUAAUUGUGUAUGAUAAUGUACAAUUUGACAUGUUUUUAAGUUUGGGGCUUAAAGAAUGUGUUGAUACUUUAGAAGCAAAAUAAAAUCUAUACAGAAUUAGAGUUUAUUUAUAGUAUUAGAAUUUGUUUACGGUUGCUAUUCUAAUGACCAUCUUUUAUUCUAUGUAAUAGAAUAUCAGAAUAUCAGUACUUGAGCUAUAUUGGACGCUAGUUAUUGAAUGAUAAACUUUCAGCCUAUGCAAUCUUUAGUUUUAGUAAUAGAGUAAGGGUACAUGUUGCUUUAUCAAAUGAAAACCGAUAGACCGUUUCCACCAAGGCACUAACCCCAAGCACAAAAGUAAGACAAUCACUCAUAAAGAUGGGAAAGGGGGCAAAAAACUAUAGGCUAAUACAUGGAAACCUAAGCUCCCCGAUUUUGCAAAUAAUUCAGAUAGAUCUUCACAUGAAUAAGACUAGAGUUACUGAAGAUGGGAUCAUAAUAUAGGUGCCGAACCCUGUCAUGGUGAUGGAUCGAUCAAUCAUUCUGAAACAUCAUCUCUGUCUUUCUUGUUGCUGGGUUUGCGAUGGUUUUCUUCCAUCUGUUUGGCCAUGGAAAGGCCAAAUUCAACAAGUUUUUUUAUGUUAGGCACGUUGUAGUUCUGGGCUAUGUAGAUCCCAGACAGUGUCCCGGACAUGAACGAGAAGGAGCUCCUUAUUAAACCCAUUUGGCUCCCAAGAACUAUUUAGUAUGCAGCUAGCUGUGUAGAGUAUGAGAAAGAGACUUGGCUUGAUCUGAGAGAUGUGAAUCAGGAAUUUGACGGUCUUGAGAAAUCAAAGAUGGGUGUGAAGGGGAUUCGAAAGGCCGAGAUGUCGUAGUUCCCAAGACUCGAAAUGAGCCCUCCUUUUGUGUACAUGGUGACUCCUCCUCCAAGGGUCAACCCUUCUCGGCUAAGCAACAAUUUUUAUCAAAGGAUAGCGACAAUUUAAAGGAUAGAAGACAACAUAGCGUUACUUUUACUUUGUUUCAAAAAAAAUUCUCAAUUUAUCUUGUUUAAAAUAGAUUAUGUAAAACUAUUUAUCCUUAGUGUUUGCUGAACUAGAAAUGAAAAAAUAUUUUUUUAUUAAUAUUUUUGUAUCAUUUUAAUAUGUUAAUAUUAUACAUAAAUUUUUAAAAAAUAUUUUAUAUAUUUUUAAAUAAAAAUUUUUUUUAUUUUUACUAUAUUACCAAACAGAUUCUUCAAGGAUCAUCUUAAGGAUACAUACCGGAAAAUGUUUGCUUUAAUUUUAAUUUCUUUUAAUUAGUACUUUGAUUUUAAUUUCUUUUCAUUAUUACGAGGAAAAGAGAAAAAUGGUAUUGAAUAUCUACUUUCAAGUUCUUGAGGAUAUGGUAAAAUUAGAUGUUAGUCCCUAACUUUCUAAAAUUCUAAAAUGAAUCCCUCGAAGUCACAUAAGAUUUAAGACUUCAAAUCUCAUUCAUUGCAAAACUAUUUGAGGAUAAAAUGUGAUUAGAGAAAUUAUUGUCGUUGAGCAAAUACGGCCCAAGAAAUCAAUAAUAACAGCAGACAAAGAACCAAUCUGUUAAUUAGGCCACUUAUUUCCUGAAUUUUAAUUUAUUUGAGAAUUGAUUCAUCAACUAAAAUUGACCUCCUGCAAUAUCGCUCAUUUAAAAUUGGAUCCUUUUGUUAAUUUUUGUAGGGUUUUUUUCCCUAUUAAUUAACGUUUAAAAAUCAACUCUGUAAAUAAUUUGAGUAUGUUGUACCCUUUACUUCUAGUUUUUGGUUAUUUUAAACCUCCCAUCUAUUUUUGUAUGUGAAAGUCAUAUGAUUUAUGUACAAAUUGAUCCAAACCCUUGAUUUAUUGACUUGUUUCUUAACCUUUAGAUGAAUUUGACUUUUAAAUAAAAAAAAUAAAAAAUAUAUAUUUAAAAAUGAUACAAAAAUAUCCAUAAAUAGGAAAAAAUAUCCAUGAAAAAUAAAAAUAAAAAACAAAAAAGAAAAUCUCAUAAAAUUCGGAAAACAAAAAAAAUCUCAAUUUUCAUCUUUGGACUUUUUUUCUGUAAUUAGAUUUAUUGCUAAAUUUUUUUAUUUUACCUCACAAUCAAUUUAACAGAAAAAUAAAAUAAAAUGGAGGGGAGGUUUAAAGUAAAAAAAAAAGAAAAGAAUAAAAAUAGAAGUAAAGGGUUCAAUACGAUCAAAUUGUUUGUGGAGAGUUCAAUUUGAUGAAUUUCAAUAAUAGGGGGACAAUUUGUGAAACCUACAAAAUCUAACUUGAAGUAUUCAAUUUCAAACGAAUCAAAGUUGCUAGAGGUCAAUAUCAACUUCUUAAAUGAUGAACUAGUUUUCAAUUAACUUAAAUCUCAAAAGAGAUUUGAUCCACUUAAUUAAAAAAAACAAGAAGUCAAAAUUGGAGUAAACAGAAACAAAUUAAACUCCAUCGCUGUCUUUCUUGCAGAUGCACAUAAUUUUAUUAGCAAGUAUAUAUGACAUUACAUAGAGCAGGAGUCGUCCUAUUACUAACUGUGAUGAGUUAAUCAUUCAGAAACGUCAUCGCUCUCUUUCUGGUUUCUGGGUUUGCGAUGGGUUCUUUCAAUUUGUCUAGCCAAAGAAAGGCCUGUCUCGGCAAGUUUUUUGACGUCUGGCACGUUGUAGUUCUGCGAUAUGUAGAUCCCAGCCAGUGUCCCCAACAUGAAUGAGAAGCUUCUCCUUAUCAGACCCAUGGCUGCCUCUUUUCUUCAAGGAACGAUGCUUCACUUGACUGAGCUAGCUACAGAAAAAGAAAAUUAAGCACUACUUAAGCAGGAACUAAUUCGGUAGCUUGGAGAAGGCAAGGUUGUUUAGCAGAGGAUUUAUAUAACUUGUGGGCGGUCCUGACGUAUUUCUCAAGACAUGAAGAAAACCAGAGUGACUCCUCCAGGGGUUUGAAUAUUUUUUUUUUUCAGUCCCGAGAUCUUGGUGAAAUUAUAUGUUAGUCCUCGACUUUUUAAAAGUUACUAUUGAAUAUUAAAAAAAACUUAAUAAUUGUUCAAAAAAAAUAAAGAAUAAAAGAGAAAUCCAUAUAUUUUCUUUUAUAUUUUUUCCAAUGUUUAGAAUACAAGACAAAGAGUCUAUUUAUAAGGAAAAAAAAAAUGAUAGCAGUAAUGGACACUAGAAGACUAAGUGUCAUGGAAAAUCAAGAAACUAAACUGUCAUGAAGUCUAAGAGAUUUUAAUGAGCUUUCAAUAUAUAUAUAUAUAUAUAUAUAUAUAUAUAGAUUUUAUAACAUUUUCUCUUGAACGACUAUGUACUAAAAAUGUGUCUUAUUAAAACUUUGUAAAGAAAAACUCAAUGGGAAGAAAAACCUAAGCGAAGAAAAAGAAGUACAACAUUCUUGUGUGAUUUCUGAAUACUUCAGAAUUCAAUAGAAGGUUUUAUAGAUACUUCAAGUUCACAUUAAUUUGUCCCUUAUCAAAAUGAGAUAGCUUCCGGUUAUUCCAAGUAAUUUCUUGUCAUGCUUCAGGUAGUAACUUUUUUUUCCCUGAUGAUGGGAAAAUAUUCAUUAAAAUGGUAAUGUUCAAAAUGUGUCUUAAAAACAUCACCGGUUAAAGGUUCAAGAAAUCUAAUAAUAGAUGGAGAAUCAAAACCAACAUAAAUUCAUAUUCUAUAUUGUGGAGCCAUUUUAGUCGUUUGUAGGGGCACUAUUGGCGCAUAUACAACACAACCAAAAGCUUAUAAAUGAAAUAUAUUUGAUGGUAUACAAAAAACAAGUUACAAAUGAAAAUAUCUAUGGUAAGCACUUGGUCUAAUUCUAACCAAUAAUGCAACAUGUAAUAUUGCAUGUCUACAAACAGAUGUAGGCAAUUUUUAUUUCAAAUGUAAUGGCCUAGCAAUUAAUUGAAGGCACUUAUAAAUGAUUCUGUUAGACCAUUUUGAUUAUAUACAUGAGCAAUAGGAUAUUUAACAUCAAAUCCAAUAGAAGUGCAAAAAUUAUCAAAUGCUUGAGUAUGCAAAGAUUAUCGAACUCACCAGCAUUGUCCAAUCAAAUUUUCUUGAUUGGAUAAUCAGGAGAUGUGUGUCCGUUGUAUGAUAAUAUGUGUUAUUAAUCUAGCAAAUACAACAUUUUGACUAGAAAGUUAACAAACAUGUGACCAUUUACUUCAUGCAUCAAUCAAUACCAUAAAAUAUCUAAAAGGUCUACAUGGUAGAUAAAUAGAUCCACAAAUAUCUCCUUGAUUUUUUUCAAGAAAAGAUGGUGAUUCUAUAACAACCUUAGAUGGAGAUGGUUUGGUAAUUAAUUUACCUUGAGAACAUGAGCGCAUGAUUUUUCAUUUGGUAAAAGAAUCUUCAGAUUCUUUAAAUGAUGCCCAUGUGAAUUUUCAAUAAUUCAUUGUAUUAUUAUUGAUUCUAAAUGUUCAAGUCGAUCAUGUCAAAGCAUAAAUAUUUUUGGGUUAGAACACUUGUGGUGUGUCACAACAUUUAUUUCAAUAUAUUUCAUGAAUGUGUAAUAAAUUCUAGAAGAGAAAUUAGAUAAUUUUUCAGGUAUAAUCUCUAGCCUAAAAUACAUGAAAAAAUAUAAAGAUAUUCUUUUUUGUCUUCAUCUAUUGUUUCAAUAUGAUAACCAUUAAUACAUAUAUCUUUAAAAUUGAGUAAAUACUUUUAGACUUUGGUGAAUAUAAUGCAUCUUUGCUACCCAAAUUUGUGUUAUUUGGUAACAAAAUAUUAGCUUUUCUAGGGCCUUUAAUCAUGUCUAUUGGACCUAAUAUUACAGUGACAUUAGUUUUAGUUUUAGUUAAUGUCAAAUAUUCAAAGUAUUUUUUUCUUGAAAAUUAUGUGUACUAUUUGCAAGACAUAAAUCUUCAUCAUGAAAAGGCAUGCCUCUUUUUAAAAUAUAAUUAAAGUUUAUUAUUUAACUAAAAAUUGAUAUUAUUUAUUGAAAAUAUAAUAAGAUAAAUAUCUUAAUACAAAAAAAAUAUUAAUCAUCCCCAAGGAUUCCACCACUAAAUAUGUCAUCUAUUUUAUCCAGUGUUUUUAAACCCGGUCCGGUGACCGACCCGACCCAAGGUCCGAGUCACGGGUUUUGACCUGGUCACUCGAGUCAACCUCAUUUUUUUAUAAAUCAAAAUGACAUUGUUUUGGUAAAAAAUAAAAAUAAAAAUAAUCAACGGAUUACAACAAGGUUUUUGAUCGGGUCUUACCAGGUCAACCCGCCGGAUCGGCCAGGCUUUUAACUACCCCUAUUUUUUUAUAAAAUCAGCUUGAUUCUAGCUUCGGAUCAGCCAGGUCCCGAACCGACCUGCCAGUUUUAAAACUAUGAUUUUAUCAGGGUUUUCAAAGAAAUCAGAUAUUUAUAUUCCAAUUCCCCUGGUCUUGGUAAAAAUUAUAUAUUAGUCCUUGAGGCUGGUUUUAAUAACUCCACUCAUCAUAAUAUUUUUAUCCUUUUUCAUUUUGUUUCUUUUUAUAAAAUCUUUUAUCAGUUACAUCCUCAAUCCAACUAUUAUAUUUCAAGAUGAUGGUGCAGGAAGAUUUUCAUACGAUGUGAUUCGUAAUCUACAGCCAAGAUCUGAAAGUAGAACGACAAUUAAAAAAAAUAAAGUAACUAUUUAAUUAAAAACCAUAGUAAAUCAAAUUAACACAGUACAUCAUCAAACCAUUUAUAAGCAACACUGACCUCCAAACAACAACACAGGAUUCUUACAAGUAAGUAACACAACAUAAAUCUUCAUUAGCGCUCUAAUUAUUCUUUCAAUUACUAGCAAGUGGCAUGUCCGAGGUUGUUGCCUGUUCAGUUCCUGGGCUUGCAGCCUGCGUGCUUGACGAGGACAAGUCCGUUUCCGGUGAGCUUCAGGAUUUUCCCAACGUGUGUGCUCCUCUCAUAACGAAGGCUCCAAACACAGUUCCCAUAAAAAAGGCAAAAACAGCCUCAUCUCCCUUGUUGUUUGUUUAUAAACUCUACUCUAGAUAUUGUAAAAGCAAGAGCAAGACUAGAUAUGGUGUUGGAACUAGGCGAUUGAGCUGGUGGGAU
rnacentral:lncRNA from 1 species